UUUCCCCUCAUUUUCUCCACUGUUUUUUUGGGUUUUUAUUAGUUUAUUUUUUUUCUCUCCCCUUUUUCUCCCCUAUUCCCCUAAAUUUUCAUUGCUGUGGAUUUUCUUUUCUACUUUAUGUCUCCACACUUUGUUUGGGUUUUUUUAUAUUGCUUUUAAGUGUAUAUGCCGAAUUUCUUUUGUGGGUUUAAUUAGAUUCAUGUUUGUUUAUGAUUUUUGAUUUAGAUUCAUAUAUAAGUAUAAAUGAAAUAUUUAUUAUUUCUUUUGGGGCAGCUCUUGAAUUUGGAAAACUUAGCCCCUGAAUUUGAGACUGAGGUUGUUUUUCACCAAGAAUUCAUCAAGGGGCUGGGAGAGCUUAAUAGAGAAGGUUUGAAGAAGACGCCUCUUUGUGUUGCCAAGGGGCCUCCGAGAAAGAACAAGGGGAAGAUGAGCAUUUUUGUUUGUUUUUGUUUUCACUGGAAGAUGGAGUAGUUUGAAUGUUAUUU